UCUGCUCCAUAGCUGAUGCUAAGCAAAGCUGAGAACCAAAGCCUGUUACAGCUCUGUGAAGAAACUGAGGCAUAGAAAGGUUAAGUGACUUGCCAAAGGUCCCACAGCUUUUUUUCUUAUAAGGCUAAGAAAAAUCACAAACCACAUGUCAGUGAGUCAGCAAGAUCUAGAUCCCGGGCUGGGGAUGUGGCUCAAGCGGUAG
rnacentral:lncRNA from 1 species